CUCCGUAGGUGAACCUGCGGAGGGAUCAUUACACAAAUAUGAAGGCGGGCUGGAACCUCUCGGGGUUACAGCCUUGCUGAAUUAUUCACCCUUGUCUUUUGCGUACUUCUUGUUUCCUUGGUGGGUUCGCCCACCACUAGGACAAACAUAAACCUUUUGUAAUUGCAAUCAGCGUCAGUAACAAAUUAAUAAUUACAACUUUCAACAACGGAUCUCUUGGUUCUGGCAUCGAUGAAGAACGCAGCGAAAUGCGAUAAGUAGUGUGAAUUGCAGAAUUCAGUGAAUCAUCGAAUCCUUGAACGCACAUUGCGCCCUUUGGUAUUCCAAAGGGCAUGCCUGUUCGAGCGUCAUUUGUACCCUCAAGCUUUGCUUGGUGUUGGGCGUCUUGUCUCUAGCUUUGCUGGAGACUCGCCUUAAAGUAAUUGGCAGCCGGCCUACUGGUUUCGGAGCGCAGCACAAGUCGCACUCUCUAUCAGCAAAGGUCUAGCAUCCAUUAAGCCUUUUUUUCAACUUUUGACCUCGGAUCAGGUAGGGAUACCCGCUGAACUUAA
rnacentral:rRNA from 1 species